AUUGCUUCUCGGCUUUUUGGUUAAGAUCAAGUGUAGUGUCUGUUCUUAUUAGUUUAAUAUCUGAUAGGUUUUGUUAUCUGGAGACCAUAUAUUAAAUUGAUGUUUGGAACAGGGAGAUGGAAUAGGGGCUUGUUUUGUUCAUUCCAUGCAUCAAACUGGUAUUGCAGUACUUCCAGGAAUAGUGCAUUCUCC